GACGUAGGGCGCGAGCGUUGUCCGGAUUUAUUGGGCGUAAAGAGCUCGUAGGCGGCUUGUCGCGUCGACCGUGAAAACUUGGGGCUCAACCCAAGCCUGCGGUCGAUACGGGCAGGCUCGAGUUCGGUAGGGGAGACUGGAAUUCCUGGUGUAGCGGUGAAAUGCGCAGAUAUCGGGAGGAACACCAGUGGCGAAGGCGACUUCCUGGCCUGUUCUUGACGCUGAGGCGCGAAAGCUAGGGGAGCAAACGGGG
rnacentral:rRNA from 1 species